rnacentral:lncRNA from 10 species
CCAGGUGCAAAGUGGGAAGUGUGAGUCCUCAGUCUUGGGCUAUUCGGCCACGUGCCUGCCGGACAUGGGACGCUGGAGGGUCAGCAGCGUGGAGUCCUGGCCUUUUGCGUCCACGGGUGGGAAAUUGGCCAUUGCCACGGCGGGAACUGGGACUCAGGCUGCCCCCCGGCCGUUUCUCAUCCGUCCACCGGACUCGUGGGCGCUCGCACUGGCGCUGAUGUAGUUUCCUGACCUCUGACCCGUAUUGUCUCCAGAUUAAAGGUACGACAUUUGGAGGCCCCAGCGAGAAACGUCACCGGGAGAAACGUCACCGGGCGAGAGCCGGGCCCGCUGUGUGCUCCCCCGGAAGGACAGCCAGCUUGUAGGGGGGAGUGCCACCUGAAAAAAAAAUUUCCAGGUCCCCAAAGGGUGACCGUCUUCCGGAGGACAGCGGAUCGACUACCAUGUGGGUGCCCACAAAAAUUCCACCUCUGAGUCCUCAACUGCUGACCCCGGGGUCAGGUCCAGAUUUUGAACAAAUCUCGCUAGAGAUUGAACAGAGCUGCGCCUGGAUCCCGCCACAGUGAGGAGACCUGAAGACCAGAGAAAACACAGCAAGCCCCUGGAUCCUCCUGGAAUCCCCGAUCCCUCUUGCUCCCUGGCAGAGUUUUCUAGUCCCUCUUACUUGAAGCAUGUCUUUCAGAGCCCGGCACCACCCAUCUUGAGUAUCUGGUGGAUUUUCACAUCUCAAGCCAGCUAAGAGUAUGGGAAAUAGGACUCGUUAAAGCACAGAUAUCACACAAGUGAUUCAGAUUCACGAGGGUAAUCCAGAUGAAGGUAUAUCAUUGUACCUGGCCCGCAUCACUCAGUAACUGUCACCUUUGAUUUAUUGAUUUACUUGAGAUGGAGUUUGGUUCUGUCCCCGAGGCCGGAGUGCAAUGGCGUGAUCUCUGCUCACUACAACCUCUGCCUCCCAGGUUCAGAGUGAUUCUCCUGCCUCAGCCUCUUUAGCUGGGAUUACAGGCACCCACCAACAUGCCCAGCUAAUUUUUGUAUUUUUAGUAGAGAGGAGCUUUCACCAUAAUGGCCAGGCUGGUCUUGAACCUCAAAUGAUCUGCCCACCUUGGCCUCCCAAAGUGCUAGGAUUACAGGCUGGAGCUACAGAGCCCAGCCUGUCACCUUGAUUUAAAUGAAUGCAGCUUUCUUGGUGUCUUGAUGUUUGUGAAUUUCUGUGGAGUUUGAUACUGCUCCUUUUGCUGCUUGUUUUUCCAGAGUCCCCUUAUCACUUGACGUGCUGUUAUAUUAUGUUUGAUUUAUUACAGAUACCCCAUCAGCCUGAGUCUCUUAAAGGCCUUUAUACACAUAUGUCUACACAUAGGGAUUUGGAUGAUCUCGGGAUCCCACAUCCUCGCUGUCCCCUGUCCCCCCGCAACAUCCCCCACCAAUACCUUUCUGAAGUUUUCUAGUCCCUCCUUUUUGUUUGUGCUCCUUAAAGCCCAGCCCCAUGCCUGACUUUGGUUCCCAGUGAGCAUUGUACAUUUGUGGAUAUUAAAUCUUUGGCAAAGUCAUUUACCUGGG